GGUUAGAUAACAUAACGGUAAUGUACUGGAUUGCAAAUCCGAGAAUGACGGUUCGAUUCCGUCUCUAACCU
rfam:Bathycoccus prasinos genomic : Mitochondrion.